rnacentral:rRNA from 1 species
GACGAACGCUGGCGGCGUGCUUAACACAUGCAAGUCGAACGGAAAGGCCCUGCUUUUGUGGGGUGCUCGAGUGGCGAACGGGUGAGUAACACGUGAGUAACCUGCCCUUGACUUUGGGAUAACUUCAGGGAACUGGGGCUAAUACCGGAUAGGAGCUCCUGCUGCAUGGUGGGGGUUGGAAAGUUUCGGCGGUUGGGGAUGGACUAGCGGCUUAUCAGCUUGUUGGUGGGGUAGUGGCUUACCAAGGCUUUGACGGGUAGCCGGCCUGAGAGGGUGACCGGCCACAUUAGGACUGAGAGACGGCCCAGACGCCUACGGGAGGCAGCGGUGGGGAGUAUUGCACAAUGGGCGGAAGCCUGAUGCGGCAACGCCGCGUGCGUGAUGACGGCCUUCGGGUUGUAAACCGCUGUCGCCUGUGACGAAGAGUGAGUGACGGUAAUGGGUAAAGAAGCACCGGCUAACUACGUG